UGUCCGGUCCCCCCUGCCCCGACGCAGGCUGCUUGUCAGGGGUCUCCUGCUCCUUAGCAUCAAAGCGCAGGCCUUGCCCGGCCCCAGGGCCCACCGCCACCUGGACUCAGCCCAGCAGGGGACUGUUAAGUCUCCCUUCUCAGGGAGGGUCAGCCUGAGGCAUCGGGCCCAGAAGAGUCCCCUGACCUCCCAGCCCUUCCUCAUCUGGGUGUGACGGCGUUUACUGACGCAUCCUCCGUGUACCAGCCUCGUCCUGAGUGGACAAGAAAUUUGGAGAUAAUCUCAGAGACCAGUUCGGGGGAAGAGGGCGCAUGCCACCACAAUUACGAUUCCGACGUAAAUGACACAGUCUCUACUGCUGGAGCCGCUCCGAGUGACAACGGGCGAACGCGGCUGCGGGGCCGGUCCUGUGGGGCCAUCACGGAGGACACGGGGGAGCCUUCUGAAGUGGCGGGAGUCCCGAGGGCAACACCCCGGGGGAUGGGACAAGAGUGUGGCACCCGCGUCGCGGCUGGGCUCUGGGGCCCGGGGCCCGGUCAGCCCUUCGUCCACACCAGCAGCCGUGGUGCCAGCUUGCCCCAGGCGUCAGCCUGUCCCCGUGCCUCCUGGGUGUCCCCCAGCUGAAACGGCAGCGGGCGGAGAGGCCAGGCAGCUCCUCAGAAGGGUCGCAGAGCCUGGAUCUUACUCGUCGCGUGGCCUGGCGGCAGGAACGUGCCGACGCCUAGAUGGGUUCAGACCAAACACAGAGGAAGUUCCUGAGGACAGGAAAAGGCCGAUGUCGCCAGGAGCCCAUGAGACGCCCGGACGCUGGCGUGACGGUCGAGGCCCCGCCAAGAAUAAGCACGGGUGCACCGCGCCCACAGGGUUCAGCGAGCCCUCUUUGAAGCCCACCCCGCGGCGGGGGCUGCCUGGAGCCGUAGUGACAGAGCCCCCGCAGGCUGUUGUUUGAUGAAGGUUGGAAGGGGAGUUUCUGCCUCCCCUGGGGCCGCGUCUCUCUCCCAGCAGCAGGGUCUCCCAGCAGUGGGGUCCCAGCGAUGGGGUCUCCCUCCCUGCAGUGGGGUCCCAGCGGCGAGGUCUCCCUCCCAGUAGCCGGGCUCAGACGGGAAACUCAGCGUGGACAGAGCUAUGUGCUGAGCCUCCCGGGACUGGCAUGCCGGCCCGCUCUUGGCUUCAGAAAAUUCAGUCCUGGCUCUGGGUGAGGACAGAGUGUCGUGGAACAAAGUGGCAGUGGGCAGCCCGGCAAGGGGGCUGCUGUUGUCCAGGAAGAGGCACUGCAGGCCGGCACUAGGUGUUGGAAGUGAGACGUGAGGACAGACUUGAGCUACGAGGCACAGGCAGGGUUUGCUCCACUCUGUGAGGAAGAGGUUGGUGGGGGGGGAUCCCCUGGGUUUCCGGAGGAGAGACUCCCCGUGAGGCCCGUCUCUCGGCUGUGACAGCCUCACCUCCCGGGUGCUGAGGCUGUGGCGGCUUCACACAGUGGGAGAUCCCUGACAGCACAUCUCUGGGGGCUAUCAGGGGUGUGUGUGUGGAUCUGGGAGUCAGCCAGGUAUAGAUGACCACUGAGGCCAAAACGUAGGGGUGGGCUUUAGAGGAUACGAGAAGGGGUCCGUGCAGGUGGGGAGUGUGCAGAGCGACCGGAGAGCAUCAGCUGGAGCUCUUCAGGGCCCUGCCCUCUCUGGGCAGGGGCAGGCUCACAGUGGUGUUCCGGAUCUGAGAGGGGGCGGGGGCGGCUGCAGGGCUAAGGUUCCGAGAUAGGAAGAGGCCAUGGAAAAAGGUUUCCCCCAGGUAGCGGGAUUCGCUUACCUAAGCCAGUCGGUCCUGAAGACAGAAUGCUCCCACAGCCCUGACCUGUGACCGAGGGCACCUCUCCCUGUCCCACGGGGCCCGGCCUCGAGUGUCCUGGGAGAAUGGCU